CAGAUUUUUCUAUCUUGCACAUAAUGGUGUUGGUUCUCUGCAUUGUUUCUGCAUUUGGAGCUGUACUUCUGUUCUGCUGUCUGAUCUACUGCCCAUCAAAUAGCACAGCUUUCUCAAGCAGAACAAACUUCUGGACAAUUCAGGGUUCACUUGUCUUUUGUCCAAACAUCUGCAUGUUUUUUGCCUUCAUCUUCUGGGGUCUUUCUAAAGGAUUUGAUAGUGAGAUAAUCACUUGCUGUGCUCUUUAUAUUCUGAGACCUGUUAUGUAUCUUACAGGUAUGUAUUAGAAUGUAAAG